UACAGAGGUCCCAAGCGUUGUUCGGAUUCACUGGGCGUAAAGGGUGCGUAGGCGGUCGGGUAAGUCUGAUGUGAAAUCUCGGAGCUCAACUCCGAAACUGCAUUGGAUACUAUUCGGCUUGAGGUCUGGAGGGGGGACUGGAAUUCUCGGUGUAGCAGUGAAAUGCGUAGAUAUCGAGAGGAACACCAGUGGCGAAGGCGAGUCCCUGGACAGGUCCUGACGCUGAGGCGCGAAAGCUAGGGGAGCAAACGGG
rnacentral:rRNA from 1 species